rnacentral:rRNA from 1 species
AGAGUUUGAUCCUGGCUCAGGAUGAACGCUGGCGGCGUGGAUGAGUCAUGCAAGUCAAACGGACACUUACGCAAGUUUGUGUUAGUGGCAGACGAGGUAGUAACACGUAGGAACCUACUCCAGAGUCGGGGAUAAUUCACCGAAAGGUGGACUAAUACCCGAUAGUAUCUUCGGAUUAAAGAAGCAAUUCGCUUUGGAAUGGGCCUGCGGGCUAUCAGCUAGUUGGUAAGGUAAUGGCUUACCAAGGCUAAGACGGCUAGGGGACCUGAGAGGGUGACCCCCACCGAUGGGACUGAGAACGGCCCAUACACCUACGGGUGGCUGCAGACGAGAAUAUUCGACAAUGGACGAAAGUCUGAUCGAGCGACGCCGCGUGAUGGAUGAAGUCCCUCUGGGACGUAAACAUCUUUUGUGGAGGAGAAAGGGUAAGUAUUUAUACUUAUCUUGAUAGUACUUCAAGAAUAAGGGGUUGCUAAACUCGUGCCAGCAGCAGCGGUAAUACGAGUACCCCAAGCGUUAUCCGGAAUCAUURGGCGUAAAGGGUGUGUAGGUGGUUUCUUUAGUCUUCUGUUAAAACCUCGGGCUUAACCCGAGGCUUGCAGUGGAAACGGAGAGACUUGAGGAUGCGAGGGGUGAAUGGAACUCAUGGAGUAGGGGUGAAAUCCGUUGAUAUCAUGGGGAACACCAAAAGCGAAGGCAAUUCACUGGCGCAUUCCYGACACUGAGACACGAAAGCGUGGGUAGCGAACGGGAUUAGAUACCCUGGUAGUCC